UUUAGGUUUUAGCUAGCUAGCUGCAAGCGGCUGCUAGCUUAGCUAUUAAAUUAUAUAAAAAGCGCAGCUCAAAAACUAUAGGCUAUUGGUAUAUUUGUUUGAGUAACACGUUAUUUUAAUUUUAUUUAACUUAUUCGAGUAAACACAGUACAGUUAACUUAAUGUAUUUUUUUUAUUACAGUUUUCAAUUUUGUGUCUGAAAUGGAAGAUUUGCCUUUGACAAUCGAAUUUGGUGGAGGAGCAGAACUGCUUUUUAACAAAGUGAAGAAACAUUCUGUCAAUCUUCCUGGAAAUAUACGGCCAUGGACUUUAAGAAAACUUCUUGUCUGGCUGAAGGACAAUCUACUGACCGAGAGACCAGAAUUAUUCUUACAAGGAGAUACUGUGAGACCUGGAAUACUGGUCCUAGUUAACGAAUCAGAUUGGGAAUUGUUGUUGAGUUCAGUGAUGUCAACAAAAUUUCAACAUUGAAUGAUAACAAGGCCAGGAUUUUGACCAGGGUUAAAAAGCGUAAAAAUCGACAACAGCAUAGAAAUGUAAAUAAAGACCAAACUGUAAGACAUUAAUAAAUGUUUUUCUGUUCCUAAGGUAGAUCCAAUGAAGAACCUUCUCUAUUUGGAUUUUGCUGAGUGAUCUAGUGAAAGUCAAAAUAUGACGUUUGUGUUGAUUUUAAAAACUAAACUUACUGUUUUUAACAACUUUAAAUAAUUGUUGAAUUAAAGUCGG